AUACGGAGGGUGCGAGCGUUAAUCGGAAUUACUGGGCGUAAAGCGUACGUAGGCGGUUGGUUAAGUUAGAUGUGAAAGCCCCGGGCUUAACCUGGGAACUGCAUUUAAAACUGGCGGACUAGAGUUGAGCAGAGGGGAGUGGAAUUUCAGGUGUAGCGGUGAAAUGCGUAGAGAUCUGAAGGAACACCAGUGGCGAAGGCGACUUCCUGGACUAGAACUGACGCUGAGGAACGAAAGCGUGGGUAGCAAACGGGAUUAGAAACCCUGGUAGUCC
rnacentral:rRNA from 1 species